GACGAACGCUGGCGGCGUGCUUAACACAUGCAAGUCGAACGGAAAGGCCCCUUUGGGGGUACUCGAGUGGCGAACGGGUGAGUAACACGUGAGUAACCUGCCCUUUACUUCGGGAUAACUUCAGGAAACUGGGGCUAAUACCGGAUAGGAAUCCUUGCUGCAUGGUGGGGGUUGGAAAGCUUCUGCGGUUUUGGAUGAACUCGCGGCUUAUCAGCUUGUUGGUGGGGUAGUGGCUUACCAAGGCUUUGACGGGUAGCCGGCCUGAGGGGGCGACCGGCCACAUUGGGACUGAGAUACGGCCCAGACUCCUACGGGAGGCAGCAGUGGGGAAUAUUGCACAAUGGGCGGAAGCCUGAUGCAGCAACGCCGCGGGCGGGAUGACGGCCUUCGGGUUGUAAACCGCUUUCAGCAGGGGCGAAGCUUGUGGUGACGGUACCUGCAGAAGAAGCACCGGCUAACUACGUG
rnacentral:rRNA from 1 species